UACGAAGGGGGCUAGCGUUGUUCGGAAUUACUGGGCGUAAAGCGCACGUAGGCGGAUUGAUCAGUUAGGGGUGAAAUCCCAGGGCUCAACCCUGGAACUGCCUUUAAUACUGUCAGUCUAGAGAUCGAGAGAGGUGAGUGGAAUUCCGAGUGUAGAGGUGAAAUUCGUAGAUAUUCGGAGGAACACCAGUGGCGAAGGCGGCUCACUGGCUCGAUACUGACGCUGAGGUGCGAAAGCGUGGGGAGCAAACAGG
rnacentral:rRNA from 1 species